GGCAGCACGAGGGAAGUUUACUUUUUUGGUGGGGGAUGGGCGGAACGGGUGAGUAAUGUAUUGGAACGUGGCCAAGUAGUGGGGGAUAAUUACGGGAAAAGCGUAGUUAAUACCGCAUAUUUUCUUCGGAGGAAAGGGGGGGGAUCAUUUUGACCUCUCGCUAUUGGAGCGGCCGAUAUCAGAUUAGUUAGUUGGUGGGGUAACGGCCUACCAAGGCAGUGAUCUGUAGCUGGUUUGAGAGGACGACCAGCCACACUGGGACUGAGACACGGCCCAGACUCCUACGGGAGGCAGCAGUGGGGAAUUUUCGACAAUGGGGGAAACCGUGAUCGAGCCAUCCCGCGUGUGGGACGAAGGCCUUCGGGUUGUAAACCACUUUUCUUAGCGAAGAAAAGUCUUAGGCUAAUACCUUAAGAUGCUGACGGUAGCUAAGGAAUAAGCAUCGGCUAACUACGUGCCAGCAGCCGCGGUAAUACGUAGGAUGCCGGCGUUAAUCGGAAUUACUGGGCGUAAAGGGUGCGCAGGCGGCUUGUAAAGAUACGGUGUGAAAUCCCGGGGCUCAACCCCGGAACUGCAUUAUUAACUAUCAAGCUAGAGUAGGUCAGAGGGGGGUGGAAUUCCGAGUGUAGCAGUGAAAUGCGUAGAUAUGGGGAGGAACACCAGUGGCGAAGGCAGCCCCCUGGGAUAAUACUGACGCUCAGGCACGAAAGCGUGGGUAGCAAACAGGAUUAGAUACCCUGGUAGUCCACGCCCUAAACGAUGUCAAAUAGCUGUUG
rnacentral:rRNA from 1 species